ACGGAGGGUGCAAGCGUUGUCCGGAAUCAUUGGGCGUAAAGAGUUCGUAGGUGGUAUGUUAAGUCUGGUGUUAAAGGCAGAAGCUCAACUUCUGUAGGGCACUGGAUACUGGCAAACUCGAAUGUGGUAGAGGUAAAGGGAAUUCCUGGUGUAGCGGUGAAAUGCGUAGAUAUCAGGAGGAACAUCGGUGGCGAAAGCGCUUUACGGGGCCAUGAUUGACACUGAGGAACGAAAGCCGGGGUAGCAAAGGG
rnacentral:rRNA from 1 species